AGCAGCCGCGGUAAUUCCAGCUCCAAUAGCGUAUAUUAAAGUUGUUGCAGUUAAAAAGCUCGUAGUUGAAUUUCGGGGUCAGUGAGUUGGUCGUGCCACUGGUAUGCACUGGCUUUACUGAUUCCUCCUUCUUGAAGAACUGUAAUGCUAUUAAUUUAGUGUUGCAGGGAAACAGGACUGUUACUUUGAAAAAUUAGAGUGUUUAAAGCAGGCUAACGCUUGAAUACAUUAGCAUGGAAUAAUGAAAUAGGACGUUUGAUCCUAUUUUGUUGGUUUCUAGGAUUGACGUAAUGAUUAAUAGGGAUAGUUGGGGGCGAUUAGUAUUCAAUUGUCAGAGGUGAAAUUCUUGGAUUUAUUGAAGACUGACUACUGCGAAAGCAUUUGCCAAGGAUGUUUUCUAU
rnacentral:rRNA from 1 species